GUGCUUGCUUGGGCAGCACAUACACGAAAACUGGAACAAGACAGAUUAACAUGGCUCCUGCACAGCGAUGACAUGUGAAUUAGUGAAGCGUUUCAUACUUUA
ensembl:snRNA U6 U6 spliceosomal RNA